rnacentral:rRNA from 1 species
CCUACGGGAGGCAGCAGUGGGGGAUAUUGCACAAUGGGGGGAACCCUGAUGCCGCGACGCCGCGUGGGUGAAGAAGCGCCUCGGCGCGUAAAGCCCUGUCAGCAGGGAAGAAAAUGACGGUACCUGAAGAAGAAGCCCCGGCUAACUACGUGCCAGCAGCCGCGGGAAUACGUAGGGGGCGAGCGUUCUCCGGAUUGACUGGGUGUAAAGGGGGCGCAGCCGGCGAGGCAAGCCAGGGGUGAAAGCCCGGGGCCCAACCCCGGGACUGCUCUUGAAACUGGGUGGCUGGAGUGCAGGAGAGGCAGGCGGAAUUCCUGGUGUAGCGGUGAAAGGCGUAGAUAUCAGGAGGAACACCGGUGGCGAAGGCGGCCUGCUGGACUGCAACUGACGUUGAGGCCCGAAAGCGUGGGGAGCAAACAGGAUUAGAUACCCGAGUAGUC